CACAUGUCGAGUGUGAUAUUCGUCGGCUGUUCUGUGCACAUGCUUCCCUUCAUGCUUUUAUAGGGCCUGACAUACUGAAAGAACAUAGAGCUGUCAAAAUGUGCAUCCUGUAUAACAUUUUACCCACAGGACCCAGAUGCAGCUGAAAUUAGUGAAGGAGAAGUGUGUAAGUAUUGAAGGCAUAGGCGCAUGACGACUAUAUGAACACACACAGUCCUGCUCCUGAACACAACAACAACAACAACCCUUUAACAAUUACUAUGAUGUGCACUACUGCUUCUGUCUGGUGGCCAAACAUCCCUUUGAGUGCUCCAUCACCAUAAUCAAUGGCAGGUUGAGCCGGCUGGGGUUUGAAGACCUUUACACAAACACUGUUUGUUUUACUUCUCCACGGCCAUGGAGCUCAGAAGAAAGGCUGCCAUCCAGUUGCCCUGGUCAAGGUAUCGAUUGGGACCCGAUUGUUUGUUGUUUUAUUUAUUUAUUUGUUUAUUCAGCACUGGAACUCUGAGAUCUUCUCCUCUGCAUGUCAAGGGCAUUUUCCCCCAGCAGAGCUUGAUUUUUCUUGUCCCUGGCCUGCAAAAACUUCAAUCUACUGUGCAGUGCAGGCCUGCUUUACUGAUUAAUUACAUAAAGAUGCUUGAUGGUUUAAA